ACGAACGCUGGCGGCGUGCUUAACCCAUGCAAGUCGAACGGAAAGGCCCCUUUGGGGGUACUCGAGUGGCGAACGGGUGAGUAACACGUGAGUAACCUGCCCUUGACUUCGGGAUAACUUCAGGAAACUGGGGCUAAUACCGGAUAGGAAUCCUUGCUGCAUGGUGGGGGUUGGAAAGCUUCGGCGGUUUUGGAUGGACUCGCGGCUUAUCAGCUUGUUGGUGGGGUAGUGGCUUACCAAGGCUUUGACGGGUAGCCGGCCUGAGCGGGCGACCGGCCACAUUGGGACUGAGAUACGGCCCAGACUCCUACGGGAGGCAGCAGUGGGGAAUAUUGCACAAUGGGCGGAAGCCUGAUGCAGCAACGCCGCGUGCGGGAUGACGGCCUUCGGGUUGUAAACCGCUUUCAGCAGGGGCGAAGCUUUUGUGACGGUACCUGCAGAAGAAGCACCGGCUAACUACGUG
rnacentral:rRNA from 1 species